GGGCGGUUGGCUCAGCGGCAAGAGCGCUUCCCUCACACGGAAGAAGCCGCAGGUUCAAAUCCUGCACCGCCCA
rnacentral:tRNA from 1 species